rnacentral:rRNA from 1 species
AUACGUAGGGAGCGAGCGUUGUCCGGAAUUACUGGGCGUAAAGGGCGCGUAGGCGGCGCUUCAAGUCGUCUGUCAAAUGGGAGGGCUUAACCCUUUUUCGCAGACGAAACUGGAGAGCUUGAGAAGCAGAGAGACAAACAGAAUUCCUGGUGUAGCGGUGAAAUGCGUAGAUAUCAGGAAGAAUACCAGUGGCGAAGGCGGUUUGCUGGCUGCAUACUGACGCUGAAGCGCGAAAGCCAGGGGAGCGAACGGGAUUAGAUACCCCGGUAGUCCUGGCAGUAAACGAUGUAUGCUGGGUGUGAGACUAGCGAUAGUUUCGUGCCGAAGUUAACGCGAUAAGCAUACCGCCUGGGGAGUACGGUCGCAAGAUUGAAACUCAAAUGAAUUGGCGGGG